rnacentral:rRNA from 1 species
CUGGAUCAGCGUCACUGCGCGGACUAGGCCUGCUUCUUUCUUCGACUUCGAUCUUGGCUCCUUCGAACGCCGUCGGCCUGGAACCGCAUGUACCUCGAACGCCUAUUUGUGGGUGACAAUAUUCGCAGCCGUGAAUGGCGCCCGGGGGCUUAACCCGUGGGCCAUCUGCCGUGAAGACUGCGGUCGCUUGCUGAAAGGCGAGCUAAUACGGGAUGUGAUAAUUGGGGGGCAUCGCCUGAUUCUCAAAGCUGGGGACCGCAAGGCCUGACACUUUACGAUGAGCCCACGGCCUAUCAUCUAGUUGGUGAGGUAACAGCUCACCAAGGUUAAGACCGGUAGCUUGGUCUUGAAAGGACGACCAGCCUCACUGGAACUGAGACACGGUCCAGACACCUACGGGUGGCAGCAGUCGAGAAUUUUUCUCAAUGGGCGAAAGCCUGAAGGAGCGACGCCGCGUGGGGGAUGAAUGGCUUCGGCCCGUAAACCCCUGUCAUUUGCGAACAAACCUUUUCACCUAACACGUGAAAAGCUGAUUGUAGCGAAAGAGGAAGGGACGGCUAACUCUGUGCCAGCAGCCGCGGUAAUACAGAGGUCCCAAGCGUUGUUCGGAUUCACUGGGCGUAAAGGGUGCGUAGGUGGUGAGGAAAGUCUGAUGUGAAAGCUCGGAGCUUAACUCCGAAAUGGCAUUGGAAACUACCUUGCUGGAGGGUUGGAGGGGGGACUGGAAUACUUGUGUAGCAGUGAAUGCGUAGAUAUCAAGUGACACAGUGCGAAGCGAGUCCCUGGACACACCUGACACUGAGCACGAAGCUAGGGGAGCAAC